rnacentral:lncRNA from 1 species
GUGCGGGCUGGCCGGUCGGCUCGCAGCCGCGGCCCCGGGAAGCUCGCGUGGGAGGCGGUGCAGCCGGGAGCGCGCCGGCCGUGCAACUGCGCGUGGGGAGCCGCCGCCCGGUCCCCGGGGAGGCCCGCACCUGGGCCCAACAGGUGCGUGCUGGCCCUGGCCGCUCACCUAGCGGGGAGCCCCCGCCGCCCCCCGCGCCCCAGCCCUGACCCCAGGCCCGCCCCCGCCCCGCGACCCGACCCCGACCCCGGGCCUCCCGCGCCCCAGCCCCGACCUCGGACCCCCGCGCCCCAGCCCCGACCCCGGGCCCCCCGCGACCCGACCCCGGGCCCCCUGCGCCCCAGCCCCGACCUCGGACCCCCUGCGCCCCAGCCCCGACCUCGGGCCCCCUGGGCCCCAACCCUGACCCCGGGCCCCUGCGCCCCAGCCCCGACCCCGGGCCCCCCGCGACCCGACCCCGACCCCGGGCCCCCUGCGCCCCAGCCCCGACCCCGGGCCCCCCGCGCCCCAGCCCCGACCUCGGACCCCCGCGCCCCAGCCCCGACCUCGGGCCCCCGCGCCCCAGCCCCGACCCCGGGCCCCCUGCGCCCCAGCCCCGACCUCGGACCCCCGCGCCCCAGCCCCGACCCCGGGCCCCCCGCGACCCGACCCCGACCCCGGGCCCCCCGCGACCCGACCCCGGGCCCCCUGCGCCCCAGCCCCGACCUCGGACCCCCUGCGCCCCAGCCCCGACCUCGGGCCCCCUGGGCCCCAACCCUGACCCCGGGCCCCUGCGCCCCAGCCCCCCCCCCCCCCGUUGACCGCCCCCCCGCGACCCGGCCCCGACCCCGGGGCCCCCCGCGCCCCGCAGGCCCGCCCGCAGCUGUUGGCCGAGGAAGCGCGCCGCCGCCGGGCUCCAAACGGCCGGGAGGGCGGCGGGUCGGGCGCGUCUCCCCCGGGGCUCCGCCCGGGCCUCCGCCGCCGCCGCGCUCCCGCGGGGCCGCCUCCGCGUCGCCACCUACCCGGUCCCACACCAUCCCAGAGGCCUCCGGCGCUCGGGCCCUCUGCCGAAGCCGCCGCCUCCCGUCCGGCCCGAGAUGGCUGCGGAACAAAGGGAAGGUGGGCGCCGGCGAGCGCGGGGCCGAUGGGCCGGGGGGCGGGGCCGCCUCGGGGACGGCGGAGGUCGCCUAG